rnacentral:tRNA from 2 species
GGGCCUGUGGUAUAGUGGUAGCACACCUCAUUUGCAAUGAGGAGAUGCGAGUUCGAUUCUCGCCAGGUCCACUA